rnacentral:rRNA from 1 species
UACGUAGGGGGCAAGCGUUAUCCGGAUUUACUGGGUGUAAAGGGCGCGUAGGUGGCAUGAUAAGUCAGAUGUGAAAGCCCAGGGCUCAACCCUGGGACUGCAUUUGAAACUAUCAAGCUAGAGUGCAGGAGAGGUAAGUGGAAUUCCUAGUGUAGCGGUGAAAUGCGUAGAUAUUAGGAGGAACACCAGUGGCGAAGGCGGCUUACUGGACUGUAACUGACACUGAGGCUCGAAAGCGUGGGGAGCAAACAGG